UUAGCCCUACGGGGCGCAGCAGUGAGGAAUAUUGGUCAAUGGGAGAGAUCCUGAACCAGCCAAGCCGCGUGAGGGAAGACGGCCCUAUGGGUUGUAAACCUCUUUUGUCGGAGAACAAAACCCGGGACGAGUCCCGGACUGCGUGUAUCCGAAGAAAAAGCAUCGGCUAACUCCGUGCCAGCAGCCGCGGUAAUACGGAGGAUGCGAGCGUUAUCCGGAUUUAUUGGGUUUAAAGGGAGCGCAGGCGGCUUGGCAAGUCUGAUGUGAAAGGCUGGGGCUCAACCCCAGGACGGCAUUGGAAACUG
rnacentral:rRNA from 1 species